GACGUAGGGCGCAAGCGUUGUCCGGAAUUAUUGGGCGUAAAGAGCUCGUAGGCGGUGUGUCGCGUCGGCCGUGAAAACUUGGGGCUUAACUCUGAGCGUGCGGUCGAUACGGGCAUCACUUGAGUUCGGCAGGGGAGACUGGAAUUCCUGGUGUAGCGGUGAAAUGCGCAGAUAUCAGGAGGAACACCGGUGGCGAAGGCGGGUCUCUGGGCCGAUACUGACGCUGAGGAGCGAAAGCAUGGGGAGCGAACAGG
rnacentral:rRNA from 1 species